AUGCAGAAUGAAGAUACGGCCUUUUGUCAGAGAGGAAAAGUACACUUGCAGAGGGAGUCUUCAGCUGGCGGGAAGAGACAAACAGAAGCCAGAACCCAGAAAGUUGGAAGAAGAGAGGAUCCUUUCAGCCACAGAGCCUUGAGGCAGAGACCAACACAGGCACUCUGGUGCCCCACCAUACCACAUGGUGCAUUUGUGCUCCCUCCAGUCUCACGACUGUCAAGAUUCCCUUGUACUAGCCCUGGACUCAUGCACCAUAUUCCAGGGAGGGGCAGGAUCUGGGAAAGUCUCACCAGUCAUCUCCCUUUCCCCCAGGUCUGCCACCCCAUGCCUCACAAAUGGGUGAAACCCUAUGAUCCAAAAACCUCCACACUGAGAAGCACUAAGUAGUUGGAUCCGAGAUGAACUACAGGUUAGUCCCCACUGACAUACGGCCUCUGGUUGGCCACUCACCAACCACUCCAGGAUGCUGCUAACCCAAGAAGGGCAGCUGUCACUGUGCAAAGGCCCAAGUCAUGGCAGGACACACACACCCAACCUUGACCCUUCUUGUUCUCAUGCCUUGACUCCUCUCAGAGGCAGAAUGGCAGCAAGGAUACUGAGGCCAAGAGGACCUGGAACACGAGACGCCUGAGGGUCAAGUAGCAGAGAACCCUUGGUCAGGAGGAGGGUAGUGGGGAAAGUGAGCCUACAGGAUUAGCCCUCACUUAUAAAAUAUAAAUGAAAAGAAACAGUUGUCAAGAAUCUCGAGAUAGUCAUGGAAGAGCAUUAAAUCCCAAAUGUGGGACACUGUCCUGUGUUGAUAUACUGGUCAUACACCCAUGAAGCCGGAGCAGUAUAUACAUACACACAAAAAAACUCCAUUCACCCCAGGCAAGCUUUUUGAAAGAAGAGUUCACACUGGCCAGCCUGUCCUCUCCUGUCUCAGUCACAUCUCAACUCAUCAUAUCAGGCUUCCAUCUCUAAAAUCAGGAAGAGAUCAGGCUUUGUAGGACCUAAAGCUCACACAGUUUUGAGACCAGUGUUAAGAAGACAGAUUCUAAAAUAUGAGCCUGUGAUUAAGUAUAUAAAGGAGAACAUGCAUUUGAGUGGUCUAAAGCUUAAACUCCAUUAGCUUCACUGUAAAUCCUCCUCUGCUCACAAUUUUGCUCUACUGUUCUCCCCAUUUUCCUCAAUUGCCACAUCUAAUGGACAAAUUUUGGUCUGAGUCUCACUUGAUUUCUUCCCCAUAAUUGAUAUGAAGAUCAUUGAUUACUUGCUCCUCGAAAUCCCCUAAGAUGGCUUCUGAUGCAUCAUCUAUCUUCUGGGCUAACUCAUUUCAUCAACUUUCAUUGGCUUUCUCUCCAAUUCUUCCACCUGUGCUACCUCAGUAACUCUUAGUAUCUAUAUUUGUUUUAAAGGAAAGAUAUUGCUUAAAACUACAUUAUAUAUCAUAUAUGCAAGUGGUUUAUAAAUUGUAAAGCACUACAUAAAUAUAAAAUGUUUUUAUUACUAGGUGAUUGAUUCUAUAAUUUGUUCAGCAAAGAGUAUCUUAACUUUCCAAAUGAUCCUUUUAUAUCCUAAAAGAGAUAUGUAUGUAAGAGAUUCAUGCAAGUUACAGAAAUGACUUUAUGAUUUAUACAUUAUUUUUAUGUGUCUUACUUUUUUGUACUCCCCAUUACAAAAUAAAUAACACUGAAA
rnacentral:lncRNA from 1 species